rnacentral:rRNA from 1 species
GUUGAACGCUGGCGGCGUGCCUAAUACAUGCAAGUCGAGCGAACAGACGAGGAGCUUGCUCCUCUGACGUUAGCGGCGGACGGGUGAGUAACACGUGGAUAACCUACCUAUGAGACUGGGAUAACUUCGGGAAACCGGAUCUAAUACCGGAUAAUAUAUUGAACCGCAUGGUUCAAUAGUGAAAGACGGUUUUGCUGUCACUUAUAGAUGGAUCCGCGCCGCAUUAGCUAGUUGGUAAGGUAACGGCUUACCAAGGCAACGAUGCGUAGCCGACCUGAGAGGGUGAUCGGCCACACUGGAACUGAGACACGGUCCAGACUCCUACGGGAGGCAGCAGUAGGGAAUCUUCCGCAAUGGGCGCAAGCCUGACGGAGCAACGCCGCGUGAGUGAUGAAGGUCUUCGGAUCGUAAAACUCUGUUAUUAGGGAAGAAAAACUGUGUAAGUAAAUCUGCACGUCUUGACGGUACCUAAUCAGAAAGCCACGGCUAACUACGUG